CCUACGGGUGGCAGCAGUGAGGAAUAUUGGUCAAUGGACGAGAGUCUGAACCAGCCAAGUAGCGUGAAGGAUGACUGCCCUAUGGGUUGUAAACUUCUUUUAUAUGGGAAUAAAAUGUUCCACGUGUGGGAUUUUGUAUGUACCAUAUGAAUAAGGAUCGGCUAACUCCGUGCCAGCAGCCGCGGUAAUACGGAGGAUCCGAGCGUUAUCCGGAUUUAUUGGGUUUAAAGGGUGCGUAGGCGGGUUUUUAAGUCAGUGGUGAAAGUUUGCGGCUCAACCGUAAAAUUGCAGUUGAAACUGGCAGUCUUGAGUACGGGAGAGGUAGGCGGAAUUCGUGGUGUAGCGGUGAAAUGCUUAGAUAUCACGAAGAACUCCGAUUGCGAAGGCAGCUCACUGGAGUGCGACUGACGCUGAGGCUCGAAAGUGUGGGUAUCGAACAGGAUUAGAUACCCUUGUAGUC
rnacentral:rRNA from 1 species